AUUGAACGCUGGCGGCAGGCUUAACACAUGCAAGUCGAGCGGGGUGAUGGUGCUUGCACUAUCACUUAGCGGCGGACGGGUGAGUAAUGCUUAGGAAUCUGCCUAUUAGUGGGGGACAACAUCUCGAAAGGGAUGCUAAUACCGCAUACGUCCUACGGGAGAAAGCAGGGGAUCACUUGUGACCUUGCGCUAAUAGAUGAGCCUAAGUCGGAUUAGCUAGUUGGUGGGGUAAAGGCCCACCAAGGCGACGAUCUGUAGCGGGUCUGAGAGGAUGAUCCGCCACACUGGGACGGAGACACGGCCCAGACUCGUACGGGAGGCAGCAGGGGGGAAUAUUGGACAAUGGGGUGAACCCUGAUCCAGCCAUGCCGCGUGUGUGAAGAAGGCCUUAUGGUUGUAAAGCACUUUAAGCGAGGAGGAGGCUCUUUUGGUUAAUACCCAAGAUGAGUGGACGUUACUCGCAGAAUAAGCACCGGCUAACUCUGUGCCAGCCGCCGCGGUAA
rnacentral:rRNA from 1 species